CACGGGAGGACAGCCCGCCGCGCAAGCGCGGGGCGGGGCCUUCUCGCGCCAGCAAAGGCGGGCGGGGCCUCGGCGGGGACGAGCUGCGACGGCGGCGCGGAGAGCGUCGCGGGCUGCGCUCGGUUCGCGCCCGGCCGCGGCCACCCACCGCUCGGGGGGCCUUGUGUCCUCCCGCCGCGAGCGCCGCGGGCGCUUCUGCUUGCACCCGCCGCAGCCGGGGCCGGGGCUGGCGGGGCCCCUACUCCGCAGUGCCCCGCUCCGCCCCGUCCUUCCCAGGGCGGCCCGGGGGUCCUCGGCCCCCGCCCGGAAGCGGAGUGACCAGCCCCGAAAACGGAAGGAAGCUGCUGCAGGUGCUCUCGAGGAGACGCUGAAAGGAUUUGUUUCCUGGUUCGCUUUCCACGAAACACCAACACUGAAGGCCCGCGUUGGCAACCCGAGGACCCUCUCGCUCUUGAGAGCUUUUUCUGUGUCUUCACUUAAUAAACUUCGUACAAACUAACUAAAUAA